rnacentral:rRNA from 1 species
UACGGGGGGAGCAAGCGUUGUUCGGAUUUACUGGGCGUAAAGGGCGGGUAGGCGGCCACUGCAAGUCGGUUGUGAAAUCUCCGGGCUUAACCCGGAAAGGUCAACCGAUACUGCAGGGCUAGAGUGCAGAAGGGGCAACUGGAAUUCUCGGUGUAGCGGUGAAAUGCGUAGAUAUUGGGAGGAACACCAGUGGCGAAGGCGGCUCGCUGGACCGGUUCUGACGCUGAGGCGCGAAAGCGUGGGGAGCAAACGGG